AGAGGAUGUGACCUCAGGGACCGCAGUGACAAUAAAAUCAGAGACACAGUAAUAUGUUAUUUUUACACUGUGUAAUACGGUGUCUCUGAUUUUAUUGUCACUGCAGUCCCUGAGGAAGUUCCUC